rnacentral:piRNA from 1 species
UGAGGAAAUAGGUGUAUUCUGCUCUGUCU